UGGAGGAGAAAGAAAGGCAUUCUGCAUUAGAGCAGAAAGGGUUGGCAGUACAGGGGCCAAGGAGGAGCAGAGAGCAAACUGCCUGAGCAGGGAAUGGUUGACCUCAUGGAAACUGAGAAUUUGGUACCGCAGGGAAUGGACCGUGAAUGCACAAAGAUAAAGUAGCUGGUGCGAGCAAUUGGUAAAAGGCUUCAGUGUUUAUAAUUAGACAAUGGAACUAGACAAGAGAGAGUUUACACAGAAGACAAAGGAUCCAGGGAUGCUACGAUAGUGAGAAUGUCUACUCUGCAAUUACAGAUAUCGGUUCAUGGUGGUCCGUGGGAGACUGUCCUUCUGAAAACUGACGUAAGACACCAACACUGGCCCGCUUUGAUAUACAUAUAUUCUGAGGCUCAUGGGCCAGUCUGGAGGCGAAGGGAGCAACUUACAAUACCAGAGGACUCCUGGCUCUGCGACUAUGUCAAAGAAGUCUGCUAUAAAACAAAAAUCAUCCACCAGGAUUCAACUUGCCUGGACAAGUGAACGACCCGGAUAUCCCAGGGCCUAGAGAGUAUACGAGGAAAAAGACCCAUUUUGUUUUCCGGCACGUGUCUAACAAUAUAUCAUUGUGAGACCAGUUACUGUCCCACUUCCGUGUUUAGUUAAUUCAGUUACAACUGGAAAACACAGGCUGUACUCUCUGCCCAAACCAACAUUUCUAAGUCCUCUCCCAGUUAUACUCUCCGUUGCAUUUGGUACAAAACCUGACUUUUGUACAAUGUUUUAUAUUGAGCGUGAUCAUAGGAUUUCUCGUUCCAGACUAGAAAACUUCUAGGAAUGAAAAGGGCGUUAGUAGUAAUUAUGCCAAGGCCACGAGUGUGAGUAGAUACUGCCUGGGGAAAGCCGGUAUGCAGGCCUGGCCCCAGAUCCUUGCACACUAGCUUUCU
rnacentral:lncRNA from 1 species